rnacentral:rRNA from 1 species
UACGUAGGGGGCGAGCGUUGUCCGGAAUCAUUGGGCGUAAAGCGCGUGUAGGUGGCUCGGAAAGUCUGGUGUGAAAACUUGGGGCUCAACCCUAAGCCUGCACUGGAUACUAUCGAGCUUGAGUCCGGAAGAGGCGAGUGGAAUUCCCGGUGUAGCGGUGAAAUGCGCAGAUAUCGGGAGGAACACCAAUGGCGAAGGCAGCUCGCUGGGACGGUACGUGACGCUGAGGCGCGAAAGCGUGGGGAGCGAAGAGG